UAAACUUCAUAUACCACUCCUGUGGUUUCGCACUUUCUCACUUUAGUAUCCUAUGGUUUAAAGUGUAUUAAGUUGGUGUUUUGUAGUUUCAUUUUUAUCUUUUCGUCAGCUUUUCCGUUAAUAUUUCGUUAAAUUAUAUAUAAAAAACUUCAGAUACCCCACUUAGAUUUAUCGAAUAUUCACUUUAGUAACCUUUAGUUUUAACUUCGUAACUGAUUUAACGAAAAAAUUAGUAGAAUCGAUAAUAAAAAGAUAAAAAUGAAACCACAGGGUAUUAAAUUUAUACACUUUAAAUCACAGGGUGCUAAAAUGAGAAAGUGUGAAACUAGGGAGGUAUUUGAAAUUUGUCCUAAAAUAUAUGCUAG
rnacentral:lncRNA from 1 species